AUUGAACGCUGGCGGCAGGCCUAACACAUGCAAGUCGAACGAGUGGCGGACGGGUGAGUAAUGUCUGGGAAACUGCCCGAUGGAGGGGGAUAACUACUGGAAACGGUAGCUAAUACCGCAUACCAUCGGAUGGGCACAGAUGGGAUGAGCUUGUAGGUGGGGGAACGGCUAACCUAGGCGCCGAACCCUAGCUGGUCUGAGAGGAUGACCAGCUACACUGCAAUGGUGGCACAGUCCAGAUGAGUACGGUAGGUAGACGUGGGUAUUAUUGCACUAGGGGCUCAAGCCUGAUGCAGCACGGCCGCGUGUAUGAAGAGGGCUGUCGGUUUGUAUAGUACUUUCAGCGGGGAGUCGUUACCCGCAGAUGACGCCCCGGCUAUCUCCGUGCCAGCAGCCGCGGUAAUAC
rnacentral:rRNA from 1 species